UCCAGGGUAGCCUAGUGGACAUGGCAUCUGCCCAGUAAGCGGAAUUACUGUGGGUUCGAUUCCCAUCCCUGGAA
rnacentral:tRNA from 1 species